rnacentral:lncRNA from 1 species
GGGGAAACACUUAUCUAUAUUGGAAUCAUCACUGGCAAUAUAAAAAAUAAGAGGCAACCGUAUUUAGAAUAUACAGGUUGGGGUUUUCCCAACAUAGUAAGCUAUUUCUUUCCCCUAUUCAUAGGCUCACAUAGUAUAUCAGUUGCAGGAUUAUGAACACUAUUUACAUACUUUUUUUUAAAGGUGAACAGACUUUUCUUAAUAUAUACACUCACAUUUUUAUUUGGUGCUGCUCAAAUAUUGCUUCUUAAUACCUGCUAUGGAUAGUUCUUUGUCUUGAGAGUAUUUCCAUCACAGAGUAUAUUUGCUGAGAGCUGCCAGGAUGCAUGCAUGGUAGGUCUAACACAUUUCACACAUACACACAUUUCAAAAUAUGACUUCAUGUCACAGGGAGAAAAUGAAAAAGGACAAAAAUAAAAUAUGGUUUACAAUAGUGACAUUCAAUGAAUGUUGUGGAAAGGCCUAUACCUAGAUGUGACAUAGCUUAUUCCCAAUUUAUCUCCAGCAAAUCGAAUUUUCUUCCACUGGAGUUCUGCAUUGCUGAGGCUGUCUGUCCCAAUGGCUUCCUUGAAGAGUUCCACAAAAUAGCAGGAAUUUAACUACACAGAAUUUUAGUCCCAACAUAUAUGGGACCCUAUGGAUGAAAACCCUCCUAAUCUUUAUCUGCUGUCCUUUAGAAGAUACAUCAAUCAUUUGCUUCACAGUCCAGAGAACCUGACUCAAUGGAGACCUAUAGGUCUCAUUCAUCAGGCAAAGUAGAUUCACUGGCUUCCAGAUGUCAGUGACUAAGUUAGGAAUCUUGGGCUUUCACCAUUGAGUGGUAGUGGAGUAUGGAUUACUUUAACUUAGUGCAACAGAAAACAUUUUUGUACACCUCAGGUAAGGUAGCCAGUUCUUCCCUUCACUGUAUCCUUUACUGGCCCUGGAGAGUGUAGUUAUGCUAGUAACGAAAGGGACACUGUUUCAUAGCAGUUUUUAUUAUUGUAUUUUGUAGCUUUUUGCUAUAGCUAUUGACAAAU